rnacentral:lncRNA from 1 species
GAUUCCAAGGAUUGAGAAGUUUUGCAGUGGUCAACUGGUAUAGACAUCCCAUUACCACUACUUCCUUCAUUGGACUGCAAGGUAUUUCUGUUUGGAAAAGUAAUGGAGUCCAGUCAACUUCAUUGAUCGCCAAGGACUGUCAAAAUUAUAAAACUUGCUGUGGAGCUCUGACAUGCCAGAAGCCGCUAGAAAAAGAAGUUUGACAUUCAGAAACUUAUCAAGAGGUUCUACUCUUUGGAUAGAGACCAAAAUCAUACUUUGAAUGAUAUGCAAUGCAAGACUCCCAAGAUUCUGGGCAGUGGCAGGGAGGUGCAGCUUCUAGUCUGCCGCAUGAUCACAAUGAAAGCCUGACAGGUUUCUUCGGAAAAGUGGCCAUCCAUGGAAUGAAUGAAAUGUUCUCUUUCUAUUCCACCUCUAGAGACCAUCAAAAAACAAUGGCUCAUAAUGCUUUUAGAACAGAAACUGAAGUUGUAUACUGUGCAUAUGUAAUCCUACACAAGAGGAAGGCAAUGUUUAAAGCUGCUGUCACCUCUUAGGGAAAAAACUGGAAUUCUGAGUCAAGGGAUUGCAGUGGCAAAGCUAGGCUAGGUCUUGGAGGCUGGUGUAAGGCGAUGUGGGUGAAGGCAGGAGGCUGAUGGAAAGACUGGGGGGAAGAAAAGCCGAAAUGGAUUCACGGUGCCUUGGAUGAAGGACGAGAGGGGAACUGCAAGCUCCUUCAACUGGUUCUGUCCGGUGAGAAGUGAUCAAGCUUGGGCUGACAAGAGGCUCAGGGAGCCCUCACGUUCUUUCGCUUUUUUACCUGCCAAUCAAACUGCUACAAGACAACACCCUGAUCUGGCAUGGACAU